UACGUAGGCAGCGAGCGUUGUUCGGAAUUAUUGGGCGUAAAGGGUGCGUAGGCGGCCUGACAAGUCUGAUGUGAAAUCCCUGGGCUCAACCCAGGGCCUGCAUCGGAAACUGUCGGGCUUGAGUAUGGGAGAGGUGAGUGGAAUUUCCGGUGUAGCGGUGAAAUGCGUAGAUAUCGGAAGGAACACCUGUGGCGAAAGCGGCUCACUGGACCAUUACUGACGCUGAGGCACGAAAGCUAGGGGAGCAAACAGG
rnacentral:rRNA from 1 species